rnacentral:rRNA from 1 species
GAUGAACGCUGGCGGCAUGCCUAAUACAUGCAAGUCGAACGAACUUUUUAGAAAUUAGAAUAUAGAAACUAGAACUAAUACUCUUAGGAGUCUUAAUUUCCGGAUUCUACAUUCUAAACUCUAACUAGUUAGUGGCGGACUGGUGAGUAUCGCGUUGGAACCUACCCCAGAGUGGGGAAGUAAUUCGCCGAAAGGCGGACUAAUACCCACUGGUAUCCGGCUUGUCCGGAUUAAAGAUUUAUCGCUCUGGGAGGGGCCGUGCGUCUGAUUAGCUAGUUGGUGAGGUAAAAGCUCACCAAGGCGACGAUCAGUAGCUGGAUCGAGAGGUUGACCAGCCACACUGGGACUGAGAUACGGCCCAGACUCCUACGGGAGGCAGCAGUAAGGAAUAUUGGUCAAUGGAGGCAACUCUGAACCAGCCAUGCCGCGUGGAGGAUGAAGGUCCUCUGGAUUGUAAACUUCUUUUAUAUGGGACGAAAAAAGGCUUUUCUAAGUCGUCUGACGGUACCAUA